GCUUGUCUCAAAGAUUAAGCCAUGCAUGUCUAAGUAUAAACUGCUUAUACUGUGAAACUGCGAAUGGCUCAUUAAAUCAGUUAUAGUUUAUUUGAUGGUACCUACUACUCGGAUAACCGUAGUAAUUCUAGAGCUAAUACAUGCAGCAAUCCCUGACUUAGGAAAGGGUGUACUUAUUAGAUGGAAACCAAUGAGGGGCAACCCUGUAUAUGGUGAUUCAUAAUAAUUUUCGGAUCGAUCUUUGAUCGAUGCAUCAUUCAAGUUUCUGCCCUAUCAGCUUUGGAUGGUAGGGUAUUGGCCUACCAUGGCUUUAACGGGUAACGGAGAAUUAGGGUUCGAUUCCGGAGAGGGAGCCUGAGAAAUGGCUACCACAUCCAAGGAAGGCAGCAGG
rnacentral:rRNA from 1 species